rnacentral:rRNA from 1 species
UACGAAGGGGGCUAGCGUUGCUCGGAAUCACUGGGCGUAAAGGGUGCGUAGGCGGGUCUUUAAGUCAGGGGUGAAAUCCUGGAGCUCAACUCCAGAACUGCCUUUGAUACUGAAGAUCUUGAGUCCGGGAGAGGUGAGUGGAACUGCGAGUGUAGAGGUGAAAUGCGCAGAUAUCAGGAAGAACACCCGUGGCGAAGGCGGCUCUCUAGUACGGUACUGACGCUGAGACGCGAAAGCGUGGGGAGCGAACAGG